AGGCAACCUUGAGUUGCUCCUGAGCCUCCAACAGUUGCUUCUCGAGGGCGGCGAAGCUGAGUGCCCGCUCUUCGGCCUCCCGGAGCCUCGCCUCGAGGUCCCCGGUCGUCCUGCCCGCCACAGCCGGGCCUCCUUCUUCCACUGCUUUCAGUCGGUCCUCGGCCUUCGCCAGAAGCCCCGCCUGUUCCUUGUAGCACUCCUCCAGACGGAUCAUGUACUGGGCGAGCUAAGAGAUAAGAAAA
rnacentral:lncRNA from 1 species